UACGAAGGGGCUAGCGUUGCUCGGAAUCACUGGGCGUAAAGCGCACGUAGGCGGAUUGCUAAGUCAGGGGUGAAAUCCUGGAGCUCAACUCCAGAACUGCCUUUGAUACUGAAGAUCUUGAGUCCGGGAGAGGUGAGUGGAACUGCGAGUGUAGAGGUGAAAUUCGUAGAUAUUCGCAAGAACACCAGUGGCGAAGGCGGCUCACUGGCCCGGUACUGACGCUGAGGCACGAAAGCGUGGGGAGCAACAGG
rnacentral:rRNA from 1 species